rnacentral:rRNA from 1 species
UACAGAGGGGGCAAGUGUUGUUCGGAAUUACUGGGCGUAAAGGGCGCGUAGGCGGCCUGUUAAGUCGAACGUGAAAUCCCCGGGCUCAACCCGGGAACUGCGUCCGAUACUGGCAGGCUUGAAUUCGGGAGAGGGAUGUGGAAUUCCAGGUGUAGCGGUGAAAUGCGUAGAUAUCUGGAGGAACACCGGUGGCGAAGGCGGCAUCCUGGACCGAUAUUGACGCUGAUGCGCGAAAGCCAGGGGAGCAAACGGG